rnacentral:lncRNA from 12 species
AUGGAAGUGAGAUUCUGGGCCUCAGCUCACAGUUCUGGGCUUCUCUCUGGACAUCCACUGUGGAAGACAGCAUCUAACGAGUUCGGUGCAGCAGGCCAGGAAGAUGCAGAAAACGUCAUCCAGCGAGUGGUACUUCCAGAUGGCCAGGUGACAACGGAGCCCUACCAAACAAGUCCCAGGAAAAUGUACAAACUCCACAUGAAGUUUUAUAGGCUUCUGAGGAAGUGCAUUCAGUAUAAUGGAGGCCAAGGAACCUACCAACUCAAUAUGCUAUUUCAACACAUUCAGUCAGCCAGUGGACUUAACCUCAAGUUCAUUUCUGCACGGAUCAUUUACAGUGUUAAUCUGCGAGUUUGUAUGGUGACUGCUUUUUUUUUUUUUUUUUUUUUUUUUGGCCUUUUUUUGUGUUGCAGUUAUUGGUCACAAAAUGAGUUAAUUGAUUUUGUCACUUAA